CAACCUGGAAACAGAUGCUAAUACCGGAUAACAACAGAUGAUGCCUAUCAACUGUUUAAAAGAUGGUUCUGCUAUCACUCUUGGAUGGACCUGCGGUGCAUUAGCUAGUUGGUAGGGUAACGGCCUACCAAGGCGAUGAUGCAUAGCCGAGUUGAGAGACUGAUCGGCCACAUUGGGACUGAGACACGGCCCAAACUCCUACGGGAGGCAGCAGGA
rnacentral:rRNA from 1 species